AUUGAACGCUGGCGGCAGGCCUAACACAUGCAAGUCGAACGAGUGGCGGACGGGUGAGUAAUGUCUGGGAAACUGCCCGAUGGAGGGGGAUAACUACUGGAAACGGUAGCUAAUACCGCAUACCAUCGGAUGUGCCCAGAUGGGAUUAGCUAGUAGGUGGGGUAAAGGCUCACCUAGGCGACGAUCCCUAGCUGGUCUGAGAGGAUGACCAGCCACACUGGAACUGAGCCACGGUCCAGACUCCUCCGGGAGGCAGCAGUGGGGAAUAUUGCACAAUGGGCGCAAGCCUGAUGCAGCCAUGCCGCGUGUAUGAAGAAGGCCGUCGGGUUGUAAACUACUUUCAGCGGGGAGCCGUUACCCGCAUAAGAAGCGCCGGCUAACUCCGUGCCAGCAGCCGCGGUAAUAC
rnacentral:rRNA from 1 species